rnacentral:rRNA from 1 species
UACGUAGGGGGCUAGCGUUGUCCGGAAUUACUGGGCGUAAAGCGCACGUAGGCGGAUUGUUAAGUCGGGGGUGAAAUCCUGGAGCUCAACUCCAGAACUGCCUUCGAUACUGGCGAUCUCGAGUUCGGGAGAGGUGAGUGGAACUGCGAGUGUAGAGGUGAAAUUCGUAGAUAUUCGCAAGAACACCAGUGGCGAAGGCGGCUCACUGGCCCGAUACUGACGCUGAGGUGCGAAAGCGUGGGGGAGCAAAACAGG